rnacentral:rRNA from 1 species
UACAGAGGGUGCAAGCGUUGUUCGGAAUUAUUGGGCGUAAAGCGCGUGUAGGCGGCUUUGCAAGUCGGAUGUGAAAGCCCUCAGCUUAACUGAGGAAGUGCGCCCGAAACUGCUUGGCUUGAGUACCGGAGAGGAUGGCGGAAUUCCCCAAGUAGAGGUGAAAUUCGUAGAUAUGGGGAGGAACACCGGUGGCGAAGGCGGCCAUCUGGACGGAUACUGACGCUGAGACGCGAAAGCGUGGGUAGCAAACAGG